GGGCCUGUAGCUCAGUUGGCUAGAGCACUGCAUUUGCAAUGCAGAGGUCACGGGUUCGAUCCCCGUCGGGUCCA
rnacentral:tRNA from 1 species